CCGGGGCGGGCCGGAGGCGGAGGUCGUGGGGAACCGCGCGCGUUGGCCCAGGGGAUGGGGUGCUGAAGGAGGGCGAGGAGUUGGCAAACUUUCCAGGUGCCCGGUGUGUGUGUGUAUGUGCGCUUAGACGGACAGCAAGCCCCCGUCGUCACUCUGUCAAGCGAACAGUCGCCCCUUUGGCCAGAUGGAGAAGCUUUUUUCGGCGCCCAAGAGGAGAAUCAUAACAGAAACCGCAAGGGCACACGCUGGCUGCGCUAGCGCCACAUGCCGACGAGGACCACGGCCGCCGCUCCGCCCCCACCCCCCCACCCCCGACUGCCACCCCCACCUCAGCCCGUGGUGAGGUUGGGGUGAGGUGCGUAUAUAUUCAAGCUGGGGGAGAACGGUAAGGUAGAGAGAGGGCAGUGUUGCCGCUCCCGCGUUGCACGUGUUACCAUGCCCCCAAGAGUUUUCUCGAAGGUUAGAAAAGGAAGGUGUAUGAAGCUCAUGCCGUGUACAGACCUCACUGAAGUAUUCCAGGAAACUGUCGUCGUAGAAAGCUUCCAACAGACUGGGUAUCUGAUAAGCCCCUCUCUUUUCAAGAUCCAUUCUGAAAUACUCAGGAAGGGAAGAGUACUAUAUGCUUGUUUGGCUCGAAAACAUCCCAGCAAAGUGUCCACGGGAAGAAGAAACUAGGAAGGCACCAGUUUUAAAUCGGAAGAUGACUAAAGCUUAGGCGACGGGUACUCGGACUCCUCCGUCUUUGUAUAUGUUCGCGAUUCUCUAUGGGGAAAAUGUCAAAAAGCAGGUGACAGACGCUUGUGCAGUUAUCCCGUGAAGACGUACUAGGAAGAGACUCUAAACGCAGGCUGUCCUUGAGAACAGUUUGUUCGUUUAAAAAAAGUAGAAUACAAAAAAAAGCACGAAAAUGGAAACACCCAAGUUUUAACAGUGCUGGGGUGGGGAGUAGGGCAUGGUGGUUUUUUUUUUUUUUUAAUCUUUGCACUGUUGUCGUCGUGUGCCAUCCAGUGGGUUGGGACUCGUAGUGACCCUACGGGACAGAGUUGAACUGCCCCAUAGGGUUCCUAAAGAGCAGCCUGUGGAUUCGAACUGCUGUCGUUUUGGUCAGCAGCUGAGCUCUGAACCGCUGAGCCACCAGGGCUCCAUCUUCGCACUAACUCUCCAGUAUGAGGUAAGUUAACUUCGCAAUACAAGCAGAAUGGCUUUUGAAAAGAAAAACCCAGUUUAAAAAAUAGACGUAUCUUGAUUUCAACCCACUCUGAUGACAGUAACAAAAAGACAUACACGUGUGUGGAUACAGAUACAGACAUACAGAUACGCAUGUCCGUAUGCGGGUUUAUACGUGUGUACGCACGUAUGCGCAUGUGUGCGUACUCCUACGACACCCAUAUACAGGUAUGUAUGUCUGCCUCUGUAUAUAUGCAUAUGUAUACAUACGUAUGUAUACGUAUACGCAGAUACAUACGCAUGCAGAUACUUAUGUGCACAUAUACACGUGUGCACGUAUAUCUACAUCUGUGUAUGUACGUGCGGGUGCAUGUAUGUGUAUAUGUGUACGUACACGUAAGCAUAUAUAUGUGUAUGUACGUAUACAUAUGUAUAUAAGCAUACCCGUAUGUGUACGUGUGUGUACAUGUACACGUGUACGUGCAUGCUUACCUAUAUAUGUAUGCGUUAUAUACCUAAGUGUGUACGUGGGUACAUAUACGUGUAUGUAUGCACAUACAUAUAGACACAUAUAUAUGAAUACAUACGUUUACGGACGUAUAUAUGCGUUUACGUACACACACGCAUGUGUAUAUAUACGCACACCCACACCUCUACAUGUAAUCAGUAAAAACUAAAGCAGUGUUGCCACCAUGUUUUUAAUGAUCCUUUGACUCGUGUGCCCGCCUACCCCCUUCUGGCUACCUUACAAGGGAAAUUCCAACUUUCAAAACUUGAGGCAUGUCAUUAAUGGAUGGGCUGAAUGAAUAUUCAUCCAACUUUCCCUUUUUGAAAUAUAAUAGAAGCAGUCUAAACGCAGGCCGUCCUUGAGGAAAUUGAAUGAGAUGACGAGAGAGUGCGUCGAAAAGAGGGCGUUGAAAAUUCCAGCCACAGUUGAGACGGGACAUCUCCAAGUGUGUUCACAACCCAAAGGUCGUCAUAAGGGAAUGACAGCACCCUCAGUCCAUCAAACACACGCCCCCUUGGAGGGGUGAGGAAACUCUCUUCGAUGUCACGAAGACAGUCACGACAGCAACCGGAAGGGCACAUACCAGCAGCGCUAGCCAAAGGUAGUAAUAAAUAUUAGGGGAGAAAAGGGAUUCAUAAUGAGGUCAGAGAAGCAAUGGGUUGAACAAAGGUAAUUUUUUUGUUGUUGUUCUCAGAAUCUGUUACUAGGCAGAGGUAUUAUCACUGCCUUAGUUUUUAGUAGUCCAUUAUAAUCUACAAUCAUUUCAUUAUUUAAAUUUUCCUUAAAUUUGGAGUUUGGCCACAAUGUUAAUCUCUGAAUCAUGAAUGACAGAGCAGUUAUGGCAAAUUGUCCACUCUGAGCAAAACGUACCCCAGAGAUGAAGAUUGCAUGACUCCAGUGGCAUUACAGUGGUUACACUGAUUAUUCACUGAUUUCUAGUGGCUCUCAGUCAUCUACCUACCUAGUUUUUAAAAUGGCUAAUGAUCAUUUGGAUUAUAGUUUUGCUGUAUAUAAAUAUAUAUUAGUAUUUUUUAAAGUGGGAAUCAUGAUCAUUAAGUUGUGAAGACAAUUUUGUAAGCUACAAUGUUUAUAAUAGAAAACAGCAAAGUGCACUGCAAUUAGAAUAGGUAAGUAUUGUUUGAGGGAACUUUUGUUUGUUAUUUUAUCAAAGGCUUUGGAUGCGGUUCAUAGUCACCCAAUUUUAGAGUCUUGAGUUCUGAGAAUACUAUCCACCAAAUCCUGGGAAUCAGACAUGGAAAAAUCUCAAUCAUUUACUGCCUCAACACCUUCUCCAGUUCAUUCUCACUCACCGAACACCAACCAGAGCCACCGUCACUCCUCUGACCAUCCAACUGCAUUCAACGACGCUUUGUCAGGAUUCCAUUACUUAAAAGUUGCUUUUAUUUUGCCAAGUGUUAUUUGUAUUUAUUAUGCAUCUAACAUGUUUCACUGUUUACUGUCAUUUUAGUAUCUGUUACCUGAAGUGUAGGAAAACUUAAUUCAUAUUUCAUAUUGUUCAAUAUCACUGCAUAAAGCCCAGAAAAGUAUCGACUAAUUCACUAAUUGUUGGGGUUUGAAAUAUUUUACAUUAUUCAGAAAUACUUCACAGAAGUCAUGUAGGUGGUUUAAGUUGAAUUUGAAUUAUAUUUUGAGAAAUUGGUUAGGGGUUUUUAAUGGCGUGGGAACACAUUUUCUCCAUUUAAAACAAUGGUGAUAUGUUGUUGUGUUCGCUGCUGCCGUGUCACUUCCAACUCAUAGCGACCCUGUGUACAACAGAAGAAAACACUGCUCAGUCCUGCACCAUCUUCACAACCUUUACUAUGUUUGAACCCACCACUGCAGCCACUAGGUCAAUCCAUCUCACUGAGGGUCUUCCUCUUUUUCCAUGACCCUCUACCUUACCAAGCAUGAUGUCUUCCUCCAGGGACUGGUCCCUCCUGGUAACGAUGUCCAAAGUACGUGACAUGAAGUCUUGCCAUCUGCACUUCCAAGGUGCACUCUGGAUGCACUUCCUCCAAGACAGGCUUGUUUGUUCUCCUGGCAGUCCAUAGUAUAUUCAAUAUUCUUUGCUAACACCAUCAUUCAAAGGUAUCAAUUCUUCAGUCUUGCUUAUUCAUUGUCCAGCUUUCACAUACAUAUGAGGUGACUGAAAA